AGAUUUUUCCCUCUUGUUAGCAGAGGAGAACACAUCUUUGCUAAUGUGUAUCCAUUUUCUACUGAAUGAGAAAUCAAACAGAUGUCCCUGCUGAUUUAGCUAUGAAAAUAUUAGUAUAAUAAUUAGAUUGGAGUUUACUCUUAAUUGCCAAGAAGGACAUAAAAGAGGUGUGGUGGAAGGGUCUGCCAGAACCAGAGGCUAAGCACACAGCAGUAUAAAACAAAUUCUUUAUUCCAGCUUCCAGAAUUCAUCCUCUUCAAACUUUCCUGUUCACUGGAAUAACGAAGCCAUUAAACAGUGGUGUCAAGAAGUCUCAUCCAGUGGUUGAAGCUCGGUAGAAAACAAGGAAGCAGGCAGGUGUGGAUCCAGUAGACCAGCUGCACUCAGACCUUCCCACUUUCACUAAAGGGGGUGGGGAAGUGGGGAGACAAAAUUUAAAUUAAAUUGGUACUGAAGCAGAUCUGAUGUGACUGUGACGAUCUUCCAGUGAAUAUUUGUUUAUCUUAAAUAGUCACGUGUUAAAAAUGUGAGUGUCAGAUUUACUUCCUCCCAAGGCCACUCAGCUAUGCUUCUUGUAGUCUUUGGAAGGGAUGAAGAGGAAACACAGAGCCACACUUUAAUGAUGGUGGCUAGACAUUUGUGAAAGCUAAGUGUAAUCGUAGAAACAUUUUAUUUUAUAUUUUUAUUCCAAAGUAAAUGCAGUGUGCUAAGUGAGCAGGUUUAGAUAAAUGUUUUGUGAUAUGCCAGAAAGGUUACACAUACAUUUGCUUAAAGAAACUCUCCCUCUGGAUUUAAUAAAAUUCUAGCCACAAAGAGGUAUAAAAUUUAACUCAUGGGAUGUAAUAAAAAACCUAGAAAACUUACUUCCCACACAUUUUCCUUCCCUUCCCUCCCUUCCCCUGCCUUGUCUUCUCCCCCAUCCCCCCCACCCCGAGCCUUGCUCUCCAUGGUUGUAGGAAAAGAAGAACAGCUGAGCUCAUAGUUAUGUUGUUCCUUUACACUCUGAAUCAGAGGGAGGUUUUCUGGGAUCUCCCAAAACUACAGUGCUAAGGAGCUUGUUGCUACCCACCGCACAUGAUCCCACAACUGAUUAAAUGUCUUGAGAAUUGGCCGGUAUUUUUAAUUGAACAAGGGAAAACUUAAAUAUACAGGAAGUGUACCUUUGUCUUUCAAUUCAUUUGUAUAUUUUCUUGAUGCUUCGCAUAAAGACCAAAGGAUGCUUUUGCUUCCCUCUGCCCCCGCCAGAACUGUGGAGUUAUUGUGGGGUGUAUGGUAUUCCAUAGCACACCAUAAAUCUCCACUAGAUGUCAGUGUGUCACCAAAUGAAACCAGUUCAGCGCGCUCUCCGGACCUGUUCUUGAAACAUUGAAAAUGGGAACUCAUCUAUAACUUUUUAACCAGAAUGAUACAGAGAACUUUUAGUAUGCAGGUUAAUAAUAAGUUGUAUUUGUCAAUCAAUCCUAAUAAAAAUGAAAUCUUUAAAAAAUGUUGUACCUUUCAUCUGAGGAUUUUAAAAUGCUUUACUUAUAUUCUAGUUUUUGCAAUAAUAGCCCCAAAGAGAUAGAAGGCAAGUAUUCAUUUUACAUUUUACAGUAAAGUAUCUGAAGUGCAAGGGGACAAAAUGAUUGGCUCAAGGUCACACAGACGACAUCUGAUAAACCCAGGCUGGUAUUUCUGCCAUCACAGAACCUACUCUACCUAAAUAGUGCUGCUUCUCCUUUGGCAUGGAAAGCGUACUUGGAUGCAGAUGCCCUUUAUUUCUCAUUUGUAUUAACCACUUUGCCUAAAAAACAAGCUCAAGAAAAGUGAAAUAAUAAUUAAGAAUGAUUGAAGAUUAUUGAUUCAAUUAGUAUGGAGAUGUUUAAGAUGUAAUUUUAAGGUUUUAUAAACAUUGCACAAAGAAAAUGUGCUAAACAAUGUAGAUAACUUUUAAAGUUUAUAGCAAUGUUUUACCUAUGCUAUUUUACAGAUGGUGAACUCAGACCAAUGUUAGCCUUGUCAUAGCUCAUGUGCUCAAGUGCAGAAGGAAAGAAACGCAGUUGUAAUUUGGUCUGGAAGGUUGAAGCUCUUGGGUAUUUUGGGAUUGAUGGACAUAUUGCAUUUUGUAGGUUUUACACUGUAUAAUUUUCUUAAAGAGGAGUAUACAUACAGUCCUGUAUAUGAGGAUUUAAAUAGUGAUUUUCUCAAAAUUGUGUAAAUACACAAGUUACAACUAUGUGAAAAUCAUGUUUGUGGAUAGAGAUUAAAAGGUAACACAUUAGGGUGGUGAGAUUACAGGUGAAUUUAAUCUUCCCCUCUAUAUGUGGUAACAUUGUUUUUAUAAUAAAAAGGGGAAAAUGGUUUUUAUUGUCUUGUAAAAAUUUGCCAGGAUCUCCAGUUUAGAAAGGCUUGUUUCCUGUCAAUGAGGUACGUUGUAAACAACUGAAAUUCAAAAGAUUUUGUUUGGUUUAUUUACUUUAAAUGUUUUAGUAAUCAUAGAAACCAAGGUUAAACUGGCAGAAGUACGUAUUUUCAAACCUUACAGGGAAUUUUGAGUGAAAAUAAAUGAUUGCCCCAAUCCCAGCAGGCUGUUUGCUGGUAAUGUUCAGUGCAUUGUCGAUGUUCAUACUGAUGAAGAGAUGUUUAAUAAAUGUAGCUCGCUUCAAUUUGUGUUUUCCUUUGAAACGGUGCAAGGUUAAAAGAGUUGCCAGUAAAGUUCAAGAGAUUUUCAAAAUUAAAAAUUAUAAUAGCUAUUGAUUUUGCAUGCUUGGACCUAUGUUUUGGUU